UACAGAGGUCCCAAGCGUUGUUCGGAUUCACUGGGCGUAAAGGGUGCGUAGGCGGUCGGGUAAGUCUGAUGUGAAAUCUCACAGCUUAACUGUGAAACUGCAUUGGAUACUAUCCGGCUAGAGGAAUGGAGGGGAGACUGGAAUACUUGGUGUAGCAGUGAAAUGCGUAGAUAUCAAGUGGAACACCAGUGGCGAAGGCGAGUCUCUGGACAUUUCCUGACGCUCAGGCACGAAAGCGCGGGGAGCGAACAGG
rnacentral:rRNA from 1 species